UACGUAGGGGGCAAGCGUUGUCCGGAAUCAUUGGGCGUAAAGAGCGUGUAGGCGGCUCGAUAAGUCUGCUGUGAAAGUCCAGGGCUCAACCCUGGAAGGCCGGUGGAAACUGUCGGGCUAGAGUCCGGAAGAGGCGAGUGGAAUUCCCGGGUGUAGCGGUGAAAUGCGUAGAUAUCAGGAGGAAUACCGAUGGCGAAGGCAGGUCUCUGGGCUGACACUGACGCUCAUGCACGAAAGCGUGGGGAGCAAACAGG
rnacentral:rRNA from 1 species